rnacentral:lncRNA from 1 species
GGGGGAGGGGGAUGUUUGCCCGGAAACCGGGAAAGGGAAUAACACUCGAAAUGUAUAUAAGAAAUACUCAAGUUAAUAAAAAAAAAAGAAAUACUCAAGUUAAUAAAAAAAAAAAAAAAAAAAAAAAAAUUAACUCAAAUGAAUCAGUAGCCUUCCUCUACACAAAAGAGAAACAAGCUGAGAAAGAAAUUAGGCCUUCAUAAUAGUCCCAAAUAAUAUAAAACACCUCGGUGUGACUUUAACCAAGCAAGUGAAAGAUCUGUAUGAUAAGAACUUCAAGCCUCUGAAGAAAGAAAUUGAAGAAGAUCUCAGAAGAUGGAAAGAUCUCCCAGGCUCAUGGAUUGGCAGGAUUAAUAUAGUAAAAAUGGCCAUUUUACCAAAAGCAAUCUACAGAUUCAAUGCAAUCCCCAUCAAAAUACCAAUCCAAUUCUUCAAAGAGUUAGACAGAAUAAUUUCCAAAUUCAUCUGGAAUAACAAAAAACCCAGGAUAGCUAAAACUAUCCUCAACAAUAAAAGGACUUCCAGGGGAAUCACUAUCCCUGAACUCAAGCAGUAUUACAGA